CUUUGGGCACCAAUGGGAUGGAUGGUCAGACAGAAGGAAGGAGAUCUGGGAAAACCAAGGUCUUUAGAUGGAAGUGCUGUGGAAGAGGAACCAUGCCCAUGGGGCCUCACUGGCAUCUGGACCUGAUUUAGAUGAAAGAUCCCGGAUGUCAAGGGAUGUCUUCAAGGAACUCCAUCCGAUUUGUUGAACAUGACCCCCUCUGCCUGGGUCCUUGCAGCCGUCCUUCAACAAAGUGGGCUUUUCCAGGCGUUCUCCUACCACAUCCUUUAAGAAUGUUUCCCAGAACUCCCCUACUACACUCCUUCUGUCCCUAAAUAAACCAGAUGUUCCCGGUGCUGAUCUUCUAUCUCCCUGCUUGUCUUAAGUGGGAUCUUAAAAGAAAUAUGAAAGAUGAAUCUGGUUGUUUUCAAAUCCUGGGGAAUUACUUCCAAAUAAGUGAAUUUCAGUUACUGCCUCUUUACCUCAUCUGUUCUUCCCAUGA